GAAACCGAAGGGAAAGCUCAGCUGCAGCGGCGACUUUCAGUUUCAUUUCCACGGACCCUCCUGCCUGGGCCGCAGCCGCCGCCGCGAUGCCCAGUAAGUUCAGCUGCCGGCAGCUCCGGGAGGCGGGCCAGUGUUUCGAGAGUUUCCUGGUCGUUCGGGGACUGGACAUGGAGACAGAUCGCGAGCGGCUGCGGACCAUUUAUAACCGCGACUUCAAGAUCAGAGACAGGGUUACCCAAGCUCUGUUAACCAAGCUGGAGUGCAGUGGCGUAAUCACAGCUAACUGCAGCCUUGACCUCCUGGGCUCAAGUGAUCCUUCUGCCUCAGCCUCCUGAGUAGCUGGGACUACAGCUUUGGGACCCCCGCCCCUGGCUUCUCCUCCAUGCUGUAUGGAAUGAAGAUUGCAAAUCUGGCCUACGUCACCAAGACUCGGGUCAGGUUCUUCAGACUCGACCGCUGGGCCGACGUGCGGUUCCCAGAAAAGAGGAGAAUGAAGCUGGGGUCAGAUAUCAGCAAACACCACAAGUCACUGCUAGCCAAGAUCUUUUAUGACAGGGCUGAGUAUCUUCAUGGGAAACAUGG
rnacentral:sRNA from 1 species